rnacentral:rRNA from 1 species
UACGUAGGGUGCGAGCGUUGUCCGGAAUUAUUGGGCGUAAAGAGCUCGUAGGCGGUGUGUCGCGUCGGCCGUGAAAACCUGCAGCUUAACUGUGGGCUUGCGGUCGAUACGGGCAUCACUGGAGUUCGGCAGGGGAGACUGGAAUUCCUGGUGUAGCGGUGAAAUGCGCAGAUAUCAGGAGGAACACCGGUGGCGAAGGCGGGUCUCUGGGCCGACACUGACGCUGAGGCGCGAAAGCUAGGGGAGCAAACGGG